rnacentral:rRNA from 1 species
GACCUGCGGAGGGAUCAUUACACAAAUAUGAAGGCGGGCUGGAACCUCUCGGGGUUACAGCCUUGCUGAAUUAUUCACCCUUGUCUUUUGCGUACUUCUUGUUUCCUUGGUGGGUUCGCCCACCACUAGGACAAACAUAAACCUUUUGUAAUUGCAAUCAGCGUCAGUAACAAAUUAAUAAUUACAACUUUCAACAACGGAUCUCUUGGUUCUGGCAUCGAUGAAGAACGCAGCGAAAUGCGAUAAGUAGUGUGAAUUGCAGAAUUCAGUGAAUCAUCGAAUCUUUGAACGCACAUUGCGCCCUUUGGUAUUCCAAAGGGCAUGCCUGUUCGAGCGUCAUUUGUACCCUCAAGCUUUGCUUGGUGUUGGGCGUCUUGUCUCUAGCUUUGCUGGAGACUCGCCUUAAAGUAAUUGGCAGCCGGCCUACUGGUUUCGGAGCGCAGCACAAGUCGCACUCUCUAUCAGCAAAGGUCUAGCAUCCAUUAAGCCUUUUUUCAACUUUUGACCUCGGAUCAGGUAGGGAUACCCGCUGAACUUAAGCAUAUCAAUAAGCGGAGGAA